rnacentral:rRNA from 1 species
CCCGGUGAUCUAGCCAUGGGCAGGUUGAAGGUUGGGUAACACUAACUGGAGGACCGAACCGACUAAUGUUGAAAAAUUAGCGGAUGACUUGUGGCUGGGGGGGAAAGGCCAAUCAAACCGGGAGAUAGCUGGUUCUCCCCGAAAGCUAUUUAGGUAGCGCCUCGUGAAUUCAUCUCCGGGGGUAGAGCACUGUUUCGGCAAGGGGGUCAUCCCGACUUACCAACCCGAUGCAAACUGCGAAUACCGGAGAAUGUUAUCACGGGAGACACACGGCGGGUGCUAACGUCCGUCGUGAAGAGGGAAACAACCCAGACCGCCAGCUAAGGUCCCAAAGUCAUGGUUAAGUGGGAAACGAUGUGGGAAGGCCCAGACAGCCAGGAUGUUGGCUUAGAAGCAGCCAUCAUUUAAAGAAAGCGUAAUAGCUCACUGGUCGAGUCGGCCUGCGCGGAAGAUGUAACGGGGCUAAACCAUGCACCGAAGCUGCGGCA